CUCGUAGGCGGCCAACUAAGUCAGACGUGAAAUCCCUCGGCUUAACCGGGGAACUGCGUCUGAUACUGGAUGGCUCGAGUUUGGGAGAGGGAUGCGGAAUUCCAGGUGUAGCGGUGAAAUGCGUAGAUAUCUGGAGGAACACCGGUGGCGAAGGCGGCAUCCUGGACCAACACUGACGCUGAGGAGCGAAAGCCAGGGGAGCAAACG
rnacentral:rRNA from 1 species